GUAUCGUUGUUCAUAUGUAUAUAACAUUAUUUUAUUCUGGAAUAUUUUUAACACUGGUGAAAGUCCCAAACGAACGAUAUAUUGCUAGUCUCAAGCUGGUCACAUUACUAUGCUUAUGCUUAAAUGAAGUUUCAUAAAUAGUGUUAGAUAUCAAAUCAAGGUCACAAAUCUAAAGCCGUACCCAACGGCCCAAUGUUUUCACCUUGAAAACAACUUCUCAUCAGAUUCCUAAGAGUCAACUGAUCCAACACUUAUUUCGGGAUAUCCACAUCUACAAACUUCUUCAUGUAGGUCCUUAAAUAUCUUCACAGUCUCAUAAAACUCUUGUGUGUGGUUUCAGAGGGUUUGCGAUGACUUACUGCUGCUUUAGUAUGUUAAGGCCAAACAUUAUAUGGGCAUAACUCAUAAAUGAAAAUAAUUUAUACCUUUAUCUUCGAGAACUUACAUAAGUCAGCGGCUUUUACUGACCUAUCAUCUUGGAUUUUUCGUUUCAUGAUAAUAUAUUUAUAUAUUAGUAGACUUAUUAAAAAACUUAUUUAGUUGUGCGCAGCUGAACACUUAACGCGAACAUAUGAAUGUAUACGGGUUCCAAUUUUAACCAUUUAAUGCAGACUUGAAACUAUUCAAAGUCUUUGCCGUCACAUUUCAACCUGACAGGUUAUUCCACUGAUCCACUACUCUAACUGAAAAAGUAUUUAGUCUGUGUGUCAUCUAACACUGUUUUUUUCAAAGUUUUAAUGAGUGACCUCUAGUAUCAUUAGAUGGAGCUAGAGUAAAUUGGCUCAUCAAGUUGAUAUCAUCUAUACUAUGCAACGCUGUAUGAUAUCAUUCCAAUCCCUACGAUAUUCCAAGGUUAGCAAACCCAAUGAACGGAUUCUGUCUUCAUAAUUAAGAUGAUAUAUAUUUUUUACUAGUUUUGUUGUCCUUCUUUGUACAGAUUCCAGUUUGCAAAUGUCUUUUUUAAGGUACCAGACACAUAUCGCAUACUGUGAACCAACUAAUUUUGGCGAGCGAUUUCAUUUAGCGACUUUCGAGAGGAAAAAAAAUAGUCGCGAAUAUGUAUAACUUGGACCUUUUCUUAUCUAACUACCUGCAGUAAACUAGAUAAUCGCGAAAUUAAAUUGCCGCGAAGUUGAUUAAAAAGGGCUAAUCACGAAAUAAAGUAUCCGCGAAAAUAAGUUAGUUUACAGUAUUCUAACAGCGGACGCACUAUUGAUUUAAAAAAAAGUAAGAAACAUAUCUUGCUCCAUUAAUCAAAAGAAUGAUGAAUAAGAUAUAACACUCUCUGCGCUUUUUGAUAAGUAUCACUUAUAUGUUUUUCAAAUUUUAAAUUAGACUCGAAAGUAACUCCUAGAUCCUUUUCUUCGAUGACUGCAGAUAAUGCAAUAAAAUUUCCAGAUUCAUCGAUCAAUGGUAUAACGAUAUUGCAGGUCAUUAUCAGGAUUGAUAUGUAAUUCUUUACAUUUAGCAGCAUUACAGCGCUGAUAAUCUGAUGAGACUUUAGAAUAAACUUUACAAUCAUCGGCAAAAACUUCCAUUAUGCCCUCAACUACAUCAGAAAGGCCAUUCAUUAAUGUUAAAAAAAAAGAACUGGUUCGAAAACACUUUCCUGAGGUACCACGUCUGACAAUGAUGAAGUUGUGUUAUUUCUACGAACUCUUUACUUACGCCCAGAUAGAAAGCUUUUAUCCAAUUCAAAAUGCAUUCCUUUAUUCCAAGUGUUUCAAGUUUCAAAAAUAAGCGCUGUUGUGGCAUGGUAUCAAAUGCCUUGGAAAAAUCAAGGAAAAUCGAGUCCAGUGGAAAACCACUAUCAAUUAAUUAUGACCACUCAUCCAAAACCUCUAGGAGUUGAGUAACACAUAUUCUACCGGAACGGAAGCCAUAUUAACUACUUGUAAAAAGAUUGUUCGUAAUAAUAUACUUCAUAAUAUUGUCUCUAAUAAUGGAUGCACAUACUUCUGAUGUUAAACUUACAGGUCUAUAAUUUCCAGGCUUUUUCCCUUUCUUAAAUAUUUGUGAAACUAUGGCAUUUUUCCAAUCGUCUGGAACUUUACCCUCUUUGGUAGACUUAUUCAAAAUUUUAAACAAUGGAUAACAAAUUGCAUGUCUAACUACGUACGGAUAUGCACAUCUGAAAAGUAUUUUAUAAUUAACUACAAGGUUGCAUAAAAACUGUUGAGAUGUUUCAAAGGGGUUUAUGUGACAAUAACAAAACUGACAGACUAGUCAAAAACGAUAACGGAACAAAGUUCCGUGGGGGUAUGAAACAGACCGAGGGAAAUGAUCCUGGUAAUUAUCCUGUUGUAGAUUUGAAGUGUAAAUAGUUAGUAAAAAAUCAAGAAGCCAAACAAAUAUAAAGUUUAAAAAGUAUGACAUGCGAAUUAGGUAUUUUUACUCAUCUGUUGCAUAACUAAUCAUCGUAGUCAAGAUGCCAUGACUGUAUCAUAUUUUGUGAUUUAAAUUUUAUAUAUUUGGAGUUGAAAAACAAAACUUUCUAAACAUCAUAUCAUGAUACUGCAAAUUAUGUCAUUGCUGUCUUUCGAAUAUAUAUUGCGUUUUAUUAGCAUAAAUUCUAUUGAUUAUUAAAUGAAUGGUACAUGUAUUAUCAUUUUGUUACAUUCCUCAUGAUGAGGUUUGGUUUAAUUUUUUAGUUUCUUUUUUUUUAUGUUGUCGAAAUAUUCAGAAAUAUAAACUAGUUCAUGUAGAAUUAUAUUAU
rnacentral:lncRNA from 1 species